ACCAUAUCUUACACACACAUAAGUAAAACUCUCUCAUCAUAUUCAUCCAUAUUACCAAGAACAUCUUCAAAAACCCAAUUAUUUUAAUCAUCUCCUUCAUGAUCAAGAUGGAUUUCCAAGUAACAUAAGGUGAUCUAAAGCUCUUGGAAGUGAAAGGAAGGAUUUUCAUCCAUACAAAAGUGUUCUACCAUCAAGAUCAUCAUCUCCUUAGUUCUUAAUAAGCUUCUAAGAUCAUCCCUAGCCUAGUGCUAGAAGUCGCAACGCUAUUCAGGACGACCGCACGUGAGAUCUUAUUUUCAUCUAUUCAUAGGACGCGAUUCUGGAAUUAAAGGACCAUGUCGGGAUUCUCAAUCAAGAUAACAAGUACCAGAACUCCAUGCCAUCUUUUGGAGGGUUUAACUAUUAUAUUCCGCCUCUUUGCGGAAAUAUGAUGGUUUAAACCUUAGUAGUUUAUUUUAUAUUAAUGUAUGAAACAAUAACACUUUACUUUUAUGUUAAUGGUUUGUAACCGACACACUAAACUUAUGUUGUAAUCUUUUGAAAAACUUAUGUAAUGGCAAUGGAGUAUGUUUUAUUCAUAUA